rfam:Triticum aestivum genome assembly, contig: Triticum_aestivum_CS42_TGACv1_scaffold_221041_3B
UUUGUACUCCAUCCAUCCCAAAAUUGUUGUCUAAAAUUUGUCUAAAUACGGAUGUAUCUAGUUACAUUUUAGUGUUAGAUACAUCCGUACCUAAACAAAUGUAAGACAAGAAUUUUGGGAUGGAGGGAAUACUAC